CGCUAGCUACAGGCUUAACACAUGCAAGUCGCGGGGCAGCAUGGGGGUUGCUUGCAAUCCCCGAUGGCGACCGGCGCACGGGUGAGUAACGCGUAUCCAACCUGCCCUUCACCACGGGAUAACCCGGCGAAAGUCGGACUAAUACCGUAUGUUGUCCAUUGACGGCAUCCGAUUUGGACGAAAGGCUUUGCGGUGAAGGAUGGGGAUGCGUCCGAUUAGCCAGACGGCGGGGUAACGGCCCACCGUGGCUACGAUCGGUAGGGGUUCUGAGAGGAAGGUCCCCCACACUGGAACUGAGACACGGUCCAGACUCCUACGGGAGGCAGCAGUGAGGAAUAUUGGUCAAUGGGCGUAAGCCUGAACCAGCCAAGUAGCGUGCAGGAUGACGGCCCUAUGGGUUGUAAACUGCUUUUAUGCGGGGAUAAAGUGGCCCACGUGUGGGUUUUUGCAGGUACCGCAUGAAUAAGGACCGGCUAAUUCCGUGCCAGCAGCCGCGGUAAUACGGAAGGUCCGGGCGUUAUCCGGAUUUAUUGGGUUUAAAGGGAGCGUAGGCCGCGCCUUAAGCGUGUUGUGAAAUCCGGGUGCUCAACAUCCGGCUUGCAGCGCGAACUGGGGCGCUUGAGUGCGCUGAAAGUAGGCGGAAUUCGUGGUGUAGCGGUGAAAUGCUUAGAUAUCACGAGGAACUCCGAUUGCGAAGGCAGCCUACUGUAGCGCUACUGACGCUGAUGCUCGAAAGCGUGGGUAUCGAACAGGAUUAGAUACCCUGGUAGUCCACGCGGUAAACGAUGGAUGCUCGUUGUCGGCCCCUUGGGUCGGUGACCAAGCGAAAGCGUUAAGCAUCC
rnacentral:rRNA from 1 species